rnacentral:rRNA from 1 species
UACGGGGGGGGGCAAGCGUUGUUCGGAAUUACUGGGCGUAAAGGGCUCGUAGGCGGCCAACUAAGUCAGACGUGAAAUCCCCAGGCUCAACCUGGGAACUGCGUCUGAUACUGGAUGGCUUGAAUCCGGGAGAGGGAUGCAGAAUUCCAGGUGUAGCGGUGAAAUGCGUAGAUAUCUGGAGGAAUACCGGUGGCGAAGGCGGCAUCCUGGGACCGGCAUUGACGCUGAGGAGCGAAAGCCAGGGGAGCAAACGGG